GGCUGCAUACACACAGACUGCUCCUGAUGACUACAGUGGAAAUUAUUAUGUGGGCACUUGGCUUGUCUUUGCAGCCUGCUGCUGCAAACAGUGAUCUGGAACGUAGCUGCUGUCAAGUCUCCUGACACUGUUUGACUCAGAUUCUGGUUUCCUCCAUGGAAGAUAUUCUCUGCAAUUAAUUUCACCAGAAUUCACACAAAGGAAUCACCUUCUGGGAACCACAAAAUUGGCAUGGUAUUAAGAAAAGACUUACAGAUCCUCCUUGAGGAGCAGCCUGCCGUUGUGGGUCAUAGUGUAUACCUGGCAGAACAAUGUCUUUCCGUCAUGCUAAUGUGGAGCAAAAAGCGAAGGAGGUGGGCUCCCAGAGACCAACUGCCAAGACAUCAACAAGAAAGCCACGGAAUUUUACAGCCAGCUGAUUUGUUCCUGACAGACCAUUGAAGGAACCAAAGACCAAGCUUACCGCUCUGAGGAUCUGAGGGCAGUGGGGAGAGAGGAAGAAGUGGGAGGAGUUACUUGAGGCUGGAUUUUCAAAGGUUGUUCUCAGAUGCACUAUCAGGCUGCUGCAUAUGUCUGGGCAGGUAUCUGAGCAAUGCCCUCUGCUGCUGAUGGUCUUGGAGUGGCAAGAGAAGGUGGACUAGAGAAGGGUGCAAUACAUCUUUCUAUAUGUCAAGAAGCUAAUCAGCAUGGUCUGGAAAGCUUUCUGAACUGUUGGGUGGAAGCAUCCAGAGCCCCUGUGGAACUAGGGUCUCCUUUUAGGUAGCUCUACUCUUAUGGCAGAUCAUUGAAAGACACUGAAUUUUGGGUCAGAGUCGUUCCAUUCCUUCACAGAGGGAGAACCUUGCCUCCUCCUUCUGCAAGAAGAACCUUACUGUUCUUUACAGCUAAGAUCUCAAGCAAAACACAGAGCAAGAUUCCAGCAAGAUUUUGGAUCAUGCUGCCUGAAUUAAAGGGAAACUGAACACUUAAAAUGUAGUAUGCUUUCAUAAGUGGCCAUAUUUGUAUUGGCUGGCCGGAGAGACACAAAAGGUACAUUCAGUUGCUGAUCCAGUAACCACUGUACCAUUUAUGGUAAAACACAAGAUGAUGUAUUUAUAUUUUAUGAAGUAUAGCAAU